AACGAACGCUGGCGGCAUGCCUAACACAUGCAAGUCGAACGAGACCUUCGGGUCUAGUGGCGCACGGGUGCGUAACGCGUGGGAACCUGCCCUUAGGUUCGGAAUAACUCCCCGAAAGGGGUGCUAAUACCGGAUAAUGUCUUCGCACCAAAGAUUUAUCGCCUUUGGAUGGGCCCGCGUUGGAUUAGCUAGUUGGUAGGGUAAAAGCCUACCAAGGCGACGAUCCAUAGCUGGUCUGAGAGGAUGAUCAGCCACACUGGGGCUGAGACACGGCCCAGACUCCUACGGGAGGCAGGAGUGGGGAAUAUUGGACGAUGGGCGCAAGCGUGAUCCAGCAGUGCCGCGUGAGUGAUGAAGGCCUUAGGGUUGUAAAGCUCUUUUACCCGGGAUGAUAAUGACAGUACCGGGAGAAGAAGCGCCGGCUAACUCCGUG
rnacentral:rRNA from 1 species